rnacentral:rRNA from 1 species
GACGUAGGGCGCGAGCGUUGUCCGGAUUUAUUGGGCGUAAAGAGCUCGUAGGCGGUCUGUCACGUCGGCUGUGAAAACCCGAGGCUCAACCUCGGGCCUGCAGUCGAUACGGGCAAACUAGAGUACUGCAGGGGAGACUGGAAUUCCCGGUGUAGUGGUGAAAUGCGUAGAGAUCGGGAGGAACACCUGUGGCGAAGGCGGCCGACUGGGCCGACCCUGACGCUGAGGCGCGAAGGCGUGGGGAGCGAACGGG